GCCUGGCUGGCUCAGUCGGUAGAGCAUGUGACUCUCAAUCUUAGGGUUGUGAGUUCAAGCCCUACAUUGGGCG
rnacentral:tRNA from 1 species